AGUGAACGCUGGCGGUAGGCCUAACACAUGCAAGUCGAACGGCAGCACAGUAAGAGCUUGCUCUUACGGGUGGCGAGUGGCGGACGGGUGAGGAAUACAUCGGAAUCUACUUUUUCGUGGGGGAUAACGUAGGGAAACUUACGCUAAUACCGCAUACGACCUACGGGUGAAAGCAGGGGAUCUUCGGACCUUGCGCGAUUGAAUGAGCCGAUGUCGGAUUAGCUAGUUGGCGGGGUAAAGGCCCACCAAGGCGACGAUCCGUAGCUGGUCUGAGAGGAUGAUCGGCCACACUGGAACUGAGACACGGUCCAGACUCCUACGGGAGGGAGCAGUGGGGAAUAUUGGGCAAUGGGCGCAAGCCUGAUCCAGCCAUACCGCGUGGGUGAAGGAGGCCUUCGGGUUGUAAAGCCCUUUUGUUGGGAAAGAAAAGCAGCAGGUUAAUACCCCGCUGUUCUGACGGUACCCAAAGAAUAAGCACCGGCUAACUUCGUG
rnacentral:rRNA from 1 species